CGUUCUCAUCAGCCGAGGUUCAGAUAACUUAGAUCUCACUUGUAACAACACCUCCCUCUGAGGAACAUUCAAAGGUGUAUAGCUAUCAUACGUCGUGGAGUUGAUGGUUGCCAAAUCUUUCUCGGAGGACUGCGGGAUCGACAAUUUUCACCUCCAUUAUUCCGCCUCGGGAGCGAAGAUCGAGAGCGCUGGUAUUUUUUCUCCUCUCAUCUUGGAUGGCGUUCCUUGCU
rnacentral:lncRNA from 1 species